rnacentral:tmRNA from 1 species
GGGGGCGCCACGGUUUCGACGGGGAUGAUGAAACCGGGACUGCAUGUCGAGCUCUGUUAACUCGUAAAAAGGACAGAACCAAUCAUAAUCGCUAACGAUUCUGAUUACGCUUUAGCCGCUUAAUCACGGCUAACGUUCUACCUCUUUUUUCCUGCGGGAGGGGAUAGAACGUCAUUCAGCAGGAUAGUUUUUGUCAUAUUCUCUUCGUGGCAAGGGCGAAACUUUAGAUGAGAUCGUGUUCGGGCAUCCGUGAUCGGGGGAGAUCCCGGGCAUUAAAUCAAAAACCCGAAAUAAGCAUGUAGACGUUCCAGGCGUAGGAUUUCCGGACGCGGGUUCGACUCCCGCCGCCUCCA